rfam:Schistosoma margrebowiei strain Zambia genome assembly, scaffold: SMRZ_scaffold0001189
AUUCAGCUGACGAGUCCUAAAUAGGACAAAACGCGCAUCAUGGGU